UAAAGGUUUAGAGCUGAAAAAAGAUCAACAAAGAAGACUAACAUAUCUCAUCUUACCAUAGAAUGUCUUGGCUAUAACAAGCAGAUGUCAGAAAAAGGUAAAAAGAUAAAAUAUGAAACAAAACAAUCUCCAGAACACAAAGGAUUGCGAUCAAGCACCAGCGCAAAAAAAAAACCAAAAAAGCGGGUUAGAAAAAGAAUAAUCAUCAGGAGAACAAAAUCACCACGAAAUAAAAGGACGCAUGUCUAAAGCACCGGAAGCAC
rnacentral:lncRNA from 1 species